GACGAACGCUGGCGGCGUGCUUAACACAUGCAAGUCGAACGGAAAGACCCUGCUUUUGUGGGGUGCUCGAGUGGCGAACGGGUGAGUAACACGUGAGUAACCUGCCCUUGACUGUGGGAUAACUUCAGGAAACUGGGGCUAAUACCGGAUAGGAGCUCCUGCUGCAUGGUGGGGGUUGGAAAGUUUCGGCGGUUGGGGCUGGACUCGCGGCUUAUCAGCUUGUUGGUGGGGUAGUGGCUUACCAAGGCUUUGACGGGUAGCCGGCCUGAGAGGGUGACCGGCCACAUUGGGCCUGCGCUACGGCCCAGACUCCUACGGGAGGCAGCAGUGGGGAAUAUUGCACAAUGGGCGGAAGCCUGAUGCAGCAACGCCGCGUGCGGGAUGACGGCCUUCGGGUUGUAAACCGCUUUCGCCUGUGCCGAAGCGUGAGUGACGGUAAUGGGUAAAGAAGCACCGGCUAACUACGUG
rnacentral:rRNA from 1 species